CCUACGGGUGGCUGCAGUGGGGAAUAUUGGACAAUGGGGGGAACCCUGAUCCAGCCAUGCCGCGUGUGUGAAGAAGGCCCUCGGGUUGUAAAGCACUUUCAGUGAGGAAGAACGCCUGGUGGUUAAUACCCAUCAGGAAAGACAUCACUCACAGAAGAAGCACCGGCUAACUCCGUGCCAGCAGCCGCGGUAAUACGGAGGGGUGCGAGCGUUAAUCGGAAUUACUGGGCGUAAAGCGCGCGUAGGUGGCUUGAUAAGCCGGUUGUGAAAGCCCCGGGCUCAACCUGGGAACGGCAUCCGGAACUGUCAGGCUAGGGGGCAGGAGAGGAAGGUAGAAUUCCCGGUGUAGCGGUGAAAUGGGUAGGGUUCGGGAGGAAUACAGGUGGCGAGGCGGCCUUCUGGACUGACACUGACACUGAGGUGCGAAAGCGUGGGUAGCAAACAGGAUUAGAUACCCCUGUAGUC
rnacentral:rRNA from 1 species